CGCAGCUGCAACAACAUCAACAAUACUUAACACACAAAAAGUUGAAAUUAUACCUUGGAGGAAGUAAUUUGGUUCUGGCACAUUUUUUUAUCUAGUCCCUAAGUUACUUGUUGAGAAAUCAUGGGCAAGUUACAAUGAAGAAUUUUUGUUGUCAUAGAAAACCAAGACUGACAAAUAAAAUAUAUAAAUAAGUACAGAAUACAGAACCGAGAAAGUAAGCCAAGAUUUUCUUUAAACAAAAAAAAAGGGGGGGGGGGGGGGGGGUUGUCUGUAAGUCGGUUUACGGACGAUAAUUUUACGUGAUAACGUCAUAAGAAAACAUUGAUGAAAAAUUGCAUAUUUUUUAAUUUUCAAAUAUUAUUUACAUUUUUUGCAAAUUUAAUUCAAAUAAUUUGUUUAAAUAUAAUCACGAACAAUUAGUUAAAAAGCCCGUCUUAACCUGUUUGAUAUUAUAGAAGAUUUUCUCGCACGGUGGUUGGCCGGUUCUUGCACGCUCGGCUCAGGCGGAACGUGACAAUUUUUUGUGCGUGCAGCCGGCAUUCAUAGAUUUAUAAGACGUUAUCAAGUCAAAAAAAAAUUAUUUUGAAGAAGGAAUCAAGCAAGUAAAACAAAAAACAAAAAACCCCACAAAAAUAGCUGGACACACAACAAAGAAGAAAAAAAGAGGGGAAAUCAACCAAGAGCAAGCAAACAGAUAUUUACGAUGCAAAUAUUAUCUCCCAAGCAAACAAAUUGGUGAAAAACUAGAUAUGCACACAAAUAAGAAGAACAAAAUAAAAGUAACUCAGACAAACCAGGAGGCUUACUGUGGCGGAACAUUUCAAGGUUUCGAGAACUUCGAUGUGAUCCUGUCACGGGGCACAGUUUUUAGUGUUUGACUUUGCAGACUCUGGACUGCAGAGUUAAACUGAAUUUUACUCUCGUGUCCCACGAUUCCUCUGUGUAUGGUGUAUUCAAAUUCUUCUGCUAGCACAAUACAGCUGCCAUUCUUAAAGUCAGCAGCAACUAAACAGCACGUAUGUGGCUUCGUUAUAGCCUGUGAGGCAUGACAUGACACAGAAAAAGAUGUGACAAAAACGAUCAAAGACUAAAAUAACGAAACAAUAGUUUUUACAUAUUCCUUUUGUUAUGUAAAUUGUACCGAACUGUGUUGUCUGACAAGAUAUGAAACACCAAUUUAUUUUUUAUGGGUUUUAAUUUUGUGUUUUUUGUGUUAAUCUAAUUGCAUAGAUUAUGUGUGUAGAGAGAGAGAGAAUGUGCAUCAAUUUGUUGGCAGAUCUAUGUAGAUAUGUGUAGAUUUUGUAUAGAUGUGCGUCGAUGUUUGUCGAUUUGGGGCGAAUAUGUUCUUUGAUGUGUGUAGAUUUGUGUGUAUAUGUGUGUCGUAACGUUGGUAUCCUAAGUACACAAGAAAAUCUAUCAAAACAGUUUUAAGGAAAGGUGAACAUAUGCUGCAUGCUGAGAAUGUUAAUAAUAUUGUGUUCGCAGAUACUUGGCGCAUAUUCAUAUAUUUGGCAUUUUCGCUACUCUGUCAUAUAGUGUGUCAGUGAAAGCUUGAAGCAUACCAAGUAUCGUAAGGUUUGUGAAUACAAGAUAGCGACCAUGACUUCAAAUGUUAAGUCAAAGUCAUUUAAUAUGACUUCCCCAGGGUCAAAGAAAUCUAAAAUGGUGGCCAUGAUGUCAUCCAAGGUGGCGUAACUCCAUCAUAGCACCACAGUCUGAAGCCUAUGCUAGGAAAUUCAUCAUACUACGAAACAAUAUUAGAGUAAAAAAUUUUAAUACAAUUGUUUAAUUAAUGUUAUUAUACGUAGCAUUAUAAAUAUUGUGGCCUUAAUAUACAAAAAAUAUACUCUAAAUGUAGACUUGGUCAGACCAAACCAUUUAGUUUUGAAAUGUGCUUUAAUUCUCAAAUAUUCUCAAAUGAAGACUGACCCGGAUACAGACAAUAGGAAACAUUUGUAUUAAUGAGUUUGGUUAUUUGAUGUAAAAAGAAUAUCUUCUUGUAAAUGAUGUGUAUCAAUAAAAUGCUGGCUACUUUAAUAACAAA